CAAAAACUUUUCAAGUUGAUUGGGUUAAAAGUCCUGUGGUCAAGUCAAAAGGAACAAGUCUUUUCCAUUAAACAGAGGAACUUGACGGCAUGUUCAGGCAAGAAGAGGCCAAAUGAAGAGAAUCAGAUGGCAAAAUGGCAUCCAAAAGGGAAUUUUUGAUGAUGAACUUGAGGGCUUAUAGCAGAAAAGAAGAGGUUGCAUCAUACACAAAAGAACACUUUGCAUCAU
rnacentral:lncRNA from 1 species